AGUAGAGCUGCAGAUGAGGAUCUGUGUGAGCGAGAGUAGUUAUUGUGAUUAUAAAUCGAACUUGAUUGGUUUGUACAACCAUAGAAAACAAACGUUGGCUUAUGCUUCAUGAUGCUCAAACAAUGAUGGACGGA